AAAUGAAGGCUUAAAUAUCAUGUUAAUCAUCAUUUAAUCAUGUGGUAAAUUGGUUUUGUGUGUAAUGAUCAUUUUGCAAAUUGCUAAUUGUGGAACAAGUGAAAAUGGUGGGUGUGUUUGUCUGCACAAAUGGGCUGGAAAGGCUGCUAGCAGGCCAAACACAAUGCUGCUUGUGGUUGUACAGAAAAUGCUGUACUAUAUUUGCUUUUGU
rnacentral:lncRNA from 1 species